UUUCUUCUGAUUGUAAAAAAAAUUAAAACAUUUUCAUGGACCCUAAAAGUAUCGUGGGCCCUAGGCACUGUGCCUAAGGGAUAAGUCGGCCAUAUUUGCAGUCGCCGCCCAGUCCCUGCAGCUCGCCACAGGCUGCGAUCUGAAGGACUGCGAUGGUUUGUGCCAGCGCACGAGGGGUGGCUGCAUACCUGGAAGGGCCUGCUGGGCCAGCAGAUCCCAGCGCACCCCCUCCACUGCCGAGUUCGUGCAAGGGAGCAGCCCUGGCCACUGACCGACUCUGUGCCUUCACCACCAGCUGUGGCUCCAUUCCUUCUUACAGGGGCCGCUUACGGGGAUCAGGGGUUGUUGAUCCUCUAAGUCUGGUGGCUCUUUGAAGUUUCUAAGAGCAUUGAUCCUGCCAUGACUUCCACACAGAUAGAUCCAUGCACCUGUGCAGAGCUCCGCUGAAGCCAAGAGGGCUCCAUACACAUAAACACAUCGCAAGACUGGAAACUAUGUCCUGCAGGGCAAAGUUCUCUAGUAGUUAUAAACCAUUCUGCUUCUGUGCCUCCAACCUGUCCCCCACUCUUGUUCCAAUUCAGUUGCUACAUGUCUGACAAUCUCUGCUCCUAUAUAUCCCUACCUUCCUGAUUCUUGCCCCCCCCCCCUUCCUCUGUUCCUAUUUGGCUCCCUCCUAUGCCCUCCCUAUCUGUUCAUCCCUACUCCCAGGCAUCCUUCCUUCAGCCCCUUCUGAACCUAUCCACCUCCAACCCUCAGCUCCUCCUGUCCCCUCCUACUUCAGCUCUUUCCCCUCCCAUUAUUUUCCUUUCCCACUGUUCCAAUUCUUCUUUUCCCCUUCUUGUCUCCCCUCUCCUUAUUGCUCCUCACUUCUCUACAUUCCAGUCAGAUUGGUUCCUCCUUUUCCCCUUUGUUGCCUGAGCACUAACAUGGGAUCAUUGGAAGCAAAGGAAAAUUGCCAGGAAGCUGAACAACCGUGGACCUCAGCUGCUAGGAGAAGCAACUGCAAGUAAAAUUCUGAAAGAGCCUCUGCAGUCCCAGGCUGGAACAUGUCCAGUAGAGAUGGAAUCUGCAUAUUAGCCAACAAACUCUUAAAAGACUCUACUGAGCAUGUGAGAACUGUGCUUUUAAGUGUCUUAAUACUUGGCCAAAUUUGGUCUGAUUGUCACGAGAAUAACACAGCAUCAAAAUGCUAGAGCUUCUCAAUCAAAUAUUUAUAAUAAUAUUUUAAUGUAUGUAAAACAGUACAUAAAGCCCUUAACCUAAUUCUCAGAAACAGCUGAAUAAUUGUAGCUGAAACUUUCAACAACAACAAGAAACUGAAAAAAAUAUAUCAGCCUGAGGCAGAAACUUAGCAUGGAAAAUUUUAGCCUGAACACAUCAAGUUGGACAAAUUAUAAGCAGUUUCUUUAUAAUUAUAAUCAGCCAACUUGAAUUAUAGGUGUUUUUGAGGUGUUUUGAAUAACUGCAAAUAUUCCCAUCAAUGACUUGUAUAUGAAAUUUGUGUAUGUGUAUGAAUUUGUAUAUGAAUGAAGGCAUUUGGGGAGGCACAUACAAAUCUCAAAAAUAUUGGGGCCAAGAUACAUAAGAUGUAAUAGUCUCUUUGUACCCACAUUUAUGACCUUCUCUUCCAAUUUUGAUUCCUAUUGGUUUGUUCUGUUGGCCUGAUGUUUGAAUAGGAUGAUUUUCAACAUGUUUUUAUUAUGCUUUAGGGUGUUUUGUUUGAAUUAUUGUAACUCAAGAAUCCUGUGGACGGACAACUUUAUAAACAAAUUGAUUAUACUCCUCGCCGCUUUUGCAGAUUCAGACUAACACGGCUACCCCUCUGAUACUUGAUUAUACUGAAAAUCACAAAAAGGAAAAUACAUUUCCUCUUUGGGAAAUUUAAAUUUAAGGACAGAAAAGCUAGGGAUGAGGAUGGGGGGCUUCUUUAGAUAUGCCCUAUAAAUAAAUAACCUAUCAUUUCUAUAGGUCAGACCUCCCUAGCACCCUCGAUACCUGACCGGUCCUGAAUGAGGGAGUUUGCCAGACCAGGGAUGGUCAAUUCUCGCUCCUCUGUGGCUGGCCUCUGGGCUCUCCAGCCUGCAGCCUCUUGGACGGACUCUCCUCAUGGGGGCUAGCCCCACUGCCAGUGCUCACCACCAGACUCCACUGCUGGUCCUGGCUGGGCUCCAUGCCUCUGGCUGCCAGACUGGCUCCAUUCCUGGCCCUGCAGCUGGGCCUCAGGCUGCCAGCCUCCCAGCUGCUAGACCGGCUAUGUACUCACCCCCCCACCCCCACCCCCAUACUAAUAAAAAUAAAAUACUUCAAUGGGAAGCUACAAUAACUGUAACCAAUAUUUGUGAAUCCGGCAAUUUCAAAAUGUUGUUAAAAGGCCAUUGAUAGUAUUAAAGAAGUUUUAUGUGCUGAGAAUAAUUAAUUACUUACAUUAUCUUACACAACUGUGAAGUAUACUAAAACAAGGGGGUUUUAUGGUUAAAGCUCUUUGUUUCUGACCGGCAUGCUCAUUAACAGUCAUACUUUUGAAAAUUAUCACCAUUUAUGAUUCUGGUAUUGUGGGAGGUCAUUUCUAAAGUCCACCUUUGCUACGUAAGCAUGACUGUGUGAUUGGAUUUUUCUCCCCAUAGCAUGAUAUUUCAAAAAUGAGAACAUAUUUACAUAAGUAAUCUAUUCUCGUUGUUCUCACAGAAAAUAUCAAUUUUCAUUAUCAUAUACUCACCAAUUCAGAAAUGGACUUAAAUAAUAGGACUUUGGUCUUUCUGCCAUCGAAGUCCAGGGCAUUUUUGUUCUAUCUUUACUGAAACCAGAACUGGGUUUUUAUUUAUUGCCUUUUGGUUAGUUUUCAGUUUAACAUGGAUUGUUCUUUUUACACAUGUUUUUUAAAUAAGGAGUUUCAUUCAUGUUGCGGUAAAUAAAUACAUUUAAAUAAAUGCAAGUUGUGGUAAAAUUUCAGAGCCUGCUUUUGCCCAGAUUUUACUGACUCUUCUUCCUGACUUCCACAAUUCUUUCUAAUCCUGCUUAAACUCCCAUUGACUUAAAUGGGAGCAGCAUAUAAUCAUUAUUAUGAUAAGGGCAGUACUAGUUCAUCAUUUCUGAAUAAACUGCAUACAAAAAUACAUUAUUUAAAAGAUGCUGCUUUUUCUGCCACAGAGAUAUUCUGUGCCUUUCUGUUUUAAUAAAAAAAAUAUAAAUUAUUUUAGAAGAGUAAAAGAGUACUUUUUGCACAGAAAUAU